AUGAACGCUGGCGGCGUGCCUAAUACAAGCAAGUCGAGCGAACAGACGAGGAGCUUGCUCCUCUGACGUUAGCGGCGGACGGGUGAGUAACACGUGGAUAACCUACCUAUAAGACUGGGAUAACUUCGGGAAACCGGAGCUAAUACCGGAUAAUAUAUUGAACCGCAUGGUUCAAUAGUGAAAGACGGUUUUGCUGUCACUUAUAGAUGGAUCCGCGCCGCAUUAGCUAGUUGGUAAGGUAACGGCUUACCAAGGCAACGAUGCGUAGCCGACCUGAGAGGGUGAUCGGCCACACUGGAACUGAGACACGGUCCAGACUCCUACGGGAGGCAGCAGUAGGGAAUCUUCCGCAAUGGGCGAAAGCCUGACGGAGCAACGCCGCGUGAGUGAUGAAGGUCUUCGGAUCGUAAAACUCUGUUAUUAGGGAAGAACAAAUGUGUAAGUAACUAUGCACGUCUUGACGGUACCUAAUCAGAAAGCCACGGCUAACUACGUG
rnacentral:rRNA from 1 species